AGCUGCCUAAACCAUUGGUUUCGGGGAUCCUCCCUGCUUCUCCUCUGCUCAGCACUAGCUGCACAUAUGUGCUUUUCCUUGGUGGAAUAAGAAGACACCUCUGGACAAGCUGGCGAGUUCCCAGACCCAUUAACAGGUGUAAGCCACAGAAGCUGGACUCGGGCUGAAUAAGAAACAAGAAUAUUCAAAGGACGUCACAAGUCCUUUGGAGGACUGUAGACGCAGGUUAAACAUGAGCUCCCAGAAACAGUUCUCAAAUCCACGCUGCAGAAAUAGUCCGACUAGAAAACAGCUACCAGCACCACUGCCAACAGGCAGUAAUUAUGCAGUUUGAACCACUGCUGUGUCCAUGCCAGGACUUCUGCCUCACAGCCUUCACCUCCAGAGAAAGAGAGCAAGUCCACCAUCUGUAUUACUUCGCUGGUUCUCCAGAGAAAAUGAACCAAUAGGAGCUACAUACAGUUGACUGUUGAAGAACACAGGUUUGAACUGCAUGGGUUGGCAAGGUCAUCAGUGAUCUCUCUGACGCUCUCUCACCCCUACUGUGUUCCUGGUACAGGAAGGACAGUGAGCACACUUUACGGAACAGGUGGAGAUGAGGGAGUCUGGAUCCCACUGCUCCCUCCUUCCACUCUCCAGUCUUUAGCUAUUGGCUAAAGUCAACCAGAGACAGGGAAACCAUGCCGCGCUGUGCAGCAUGUGGGAUCUUAACGUGCUGACCAGGGACCAAACCUCUGCCUCUGCAUUGGGAGCACAGAGUCUUAACCACCGGACCACCAGGGAACUCCCUAGCAGUAGGUAUAUUUUAAUCACGCCACAGGAAGAGAACAGAAUGCCGGUGCUCACUGCAGCACUGCCCACAAUAGCCAAGGUUUGGAAGCAACUAAACGUCCUCCAGCAGAUGAACAGAUAAAGAAGACACCGUACCUGUACACAAAGGAAUGCCACUCAGCCAUUUAAAAAGGAGGAACAUUUUGCCAAUUUCAACAACACGGUUGGACUUGAAGGGCAUUACACUAAGAGAAACAAGCCAGGCAAUGAGGGGAAAAUAUUGUAUGGUAUCAUUUAUAUGUGGAAGCCCCCAAAAUACAACAAAGUAGUGACUGUAACAGAAAAGCAGACUUACAGAUAUGAAGAACAAACUGGUGGCUUACCAAUGGGUAUGUGGGGUGAAACAUAUGGGUGGGGGUGGGAUGUACAAGAUAUUCUCAAGGAUGUAUUGUGCAGCAUGGAGAAUAUAGCCAAUGUUAUCAUAACUGUAAAUGGAAAGUACUCUAAGUAUUCUAUAAAAAUAAAAAUUCAUUUUUAAAAUUA